AAAACAUUUAGACAGUACCAGAAAAAAAGCUUCCUGUCAGAGAAAAUCAUUAGAUUAAUACCAUCACUCGGGAAAUGCUAGACAUUUCCACUUGCUGAUCUGUUGGGAGCCCGCUGACUGGAGCUCUGGGGCAGGGGGUAAACAGACCCAACACUCUACCUCCCAGAGGAGAGAACUGGAUUCCAGUCACUGCCACUAACUAGACAUAAUACAGGAAAUGGCAUUUAAAAGAAGGAACCAAUACUAGCAGUGCAUAACAAUUCAAAUUCCUGGUUCCCUUUCUCCGGUCCUGACGUAAGGAAAUCAUGCAGAAGAAGUCCGCUGGCCUAGGACAAUCCAGAACACGGCUAAUUGCUCCUGCAUACAGCGGUCUUUGAAAUAUAUGAAGAACCAGCGUGCGGUACAUGAAAGGAGUGGCCAUGGCGGUAGUGAUGGAGGUUUUGUAUGGGCCCACCAGCAUGGACUCCCAUUUAAAAGGCCGAUAUAACCACUGCUGUCUCGGAAUUUCAAACACUGAGCCCCUGGAAUGAUGCUAUUCCUCAAAGAGGCUGCUUUAUGGCAAGUUGGCUACAUUGGGCCCCUUCAUUCCUAGAAAGGCCAGUGGCUCAUCAUCACAAGGAUAGAUGCCUAUUCCAAAUAUAGGUUUUCCUUUUCUGCCUGUAGAGUCUCAGCAAGCAUUGCUAUUUGGGGACUUAUGGAAUGCCUUGAUCCACAG
rnacentral:lncRNA from 1 species